GUUGACAUUACUUAGACGUUUGAGUAGUUGUACAAUUUAUUUUGUAUAUGUGAUGUAUAUAAAGUGUAUAUAGUAUAGGAGUAUUGGUUUGUGGUGCUGAUGUGGGCUGUGAUGUUGAACUGAUAUGGGCUGUGAUGUUGAACUGAUGUGGGCUGUGAUGUUGAAUAUGAGCCCAGUCAUUUUCUGAGCCCAAAUACUCACC
rnacentral:lncRNA from 1 species